rnacentral:tRNA from 1 species
GCAUGGCGCAAUUGGCAGCGCUACAAGUUUGACCUCCUUGGUACCUACACCUUACCUUACGAAGUAUAAGGUCGCUGGUUUAAAUCCAGCUAUAACCA